GGAAAUUCUCUAUCAGUUACUCACAGGACAGUUCCAAUUCAGUGGAGUAAAGGGCAGUGGUUUAGUAACCGCUCUGUCACAACACAUAAAAGGCAGCCAAUGCUAUAAUGAAAUGUCACAGUUCAAACAACAGCCUGAACUAAGAAUCAUGCUUAACAUUUUGUAUCUCACUUACACUGUUUUUGUUUAAAAUGUACUUUCUUCCUGCUAUUCUGUCAUGAUUUUACAAGGCAGUAGUCAUCCAUAAAUUUAAGCAAUUGACAGCAACUGUGCUAUUCUGUAAAUCAGGAGAAAGCACAUCCUUUGUGUUGAUUUCAGACAAAUUAUUUCUACUUACAAACAUAAACAUGCAUGUUUUUUUAGCAGCAAAGAGAGAACAUUGUUCCGAGUUUGGAAGAGACUAAGCCAACAAACGAGCAAGCACUGGGCUCUGUGGGAUCUCAGCAAGUGCAGAGAUUUAUACCUGCAGAAGAAGUCUGUUCCGGACUAGUUAUGUAUAAAGCUCGAAGUACUAAGCGUUUUUGAAGCUAAGAACACCCUGAAGCUGAAGAAGUAUGUUUCGAGCCCAAAGCUUUGUUUCUCAACUAAACAUCCAGACCAAAAAGAGAAGCUGGCUGAGAGGAGGAGUUAGUCAUUACCUGCAACUUAGGAGUUCAAACUCACUCUAGAAAACAACACUAUAUCACUUUAGGGAACAAGGCACAUCACCAUCAAGAAUUGUUUACAUAUGCUCUAUUUUUACAUGGAUAUUCUGUAUUAUGGACAGAAAAAAUGGGAAAUUGGUAGCAAGACUGGUAGGGUCUGUGCUUGAUUUGCUGUAUUUGUAUCUUAAGAGAAAUCACAACAUUAUUAAAUAGAGCUUUUUCACUUUUAUCUCAGUACUUCCUUGGCUAUCAAUAAAUGCUACACAGCCUCUUCCA
rnacentral:lncRNA from 1 species